UACGUAGGUGACCAGCGUUGUCCGGAUUUACUGGGCGUAAAGAGCGCGCAGGCGGUCGUUCAAGUCGAGUGUGAAAGCCCCCGGCUCAACUGGGGAGGGUCACUCGAUACUGAUCGACUUGAAGGCAGGAGAGGGAAGCGGAAUUCCCGGUGUAGUGGUGAAAUGCGUAGAGAUCGGGAGGAAGGCCGGUGGCGAAGGCGGCGCUCUGGAACAUUUCUGACGCUGAGGCUCGAAAGCGUGGGGAGCAAACAGG
rnacentral:rRNA from 1 species